UACGGAGGGUGCAAGCGUUAUCCGGAUUUACUGGGUUUAAAGGGUGUGUAGGCGGGUCUAUAAGUCAGUGGUGAAAUCUCCGGGCUCAACCCGGAAACUGCCAUUGAUACUAUAGGUCUUGAAUAUUGUGGAGGUGGGCGGAAUGUGUCAUGUAGCGGUGAAAUGCUUAGAGAUGACACAGAACACCGAUUGCGUAGGCAGCCCACUAAGCAACGAUUGACGCUGAGGCACGAAAGCGUGGGGAUCAAACAGG
rnacentral:rRNA from 1 species